GCAUCAGCCAGCUGCUAAACUUCCUCGGACCCUGAACAGGCUCCAGUGUCACCACCUUUGCCUUCGCCCCCCGUGCCGAGCUCUCCCGCUGGCAGGAACCGGCCCCCACCCCAGGAGCGCAGCCCCUGUCACAGCCGGACCCUUCAGCGGCACCCCGAGGGAGAGGAAGAGCCCAGGAGAGAGGCUGGCUCCGACCCUCACGCCACGUAACACUGCUCUGGAGUAAAAGCCAGGAUUUAUAGGUGUGUCUGUCUACUGGAGAGGCUGUGGAGGCUCUAGAAAAGUGGCUCGCUCUGGGGGAAGGAAAUUAGAGCCUGAAACGGCCAGAGUGGAAGGGAAAAGCCCCUCUUGCCACCACUUUCAAUAGCAGUUCA